UUUCCGUAGGUGAACCUGCGGAAGGAUCAUUAACGAGUUAGGGUCUUCCAGGCCUGACCUCCCAACCCUAUGUUUAUUGAACCUCUGUUGCUUCGGCGGACCCGCCUCACGGCCGCCGGAGGACCGCUGCAAGGCGUCCUCUGGCCAGCGUCCGCCGAUGGCCAACCACUUAAACUCUGAAUGAAUCGUGUCAUAUGUCUAAGUCUAUGAUUAAAUUAAAGCAAAACUUUCAACAACGGAUCUCUUGGUUCUG
rnacentral:misc_RNA from 1 species